rnacentral:rRNA from 1 species
GGAGCUAAUCCCUUAAAGCUACUCUCAGUUCGGAUUGUAGGCUGAAACUCGCCUACAUGAAGCUGGAGUUACUAGUAAUCGCAGAUCAGAAUGCUGCGGUGAAUGCGUUCCCGGGUCUUGUACACACCGCCCGUCACACCACGGGAGUUGGAGACGCCCGAAGCCGAUUAUCUAACCUUUUGGAAGAAGUCGUCGAAGGUGGAAUUAAUAACUGGGGUGAAGUCGUAACAAGGUAGCCGUAUCGGAAGGUGCGGCUGGAUCACCUCCUUUCUAAGGAGA